GUCCCAAUGUGGCAUAGUGGUUUGAGUGUUGGACUAUGACUCUGAAGACCAGGGUUCAAUUCCUUGUUUGGCCA